rnacentral:rRNA from 1 species
UACGUAGGGUGCAAGCGUUAAUCGGAAUUACUGGGCGUAAAGCGUGCGCAGGCGGCUUUGCAAGACAGAUGUGAAAUCCCCGGGCUUAACCUGGGAACUGCAUUUGUGACUGCAUGGCUGGAGUGCGGCAGAGGGGGAUGGAAUUCCGCGUGUAGCAGUGAAAUGCGUAGAUAUGCGGAGGAACACCGAUGGCGAAGGCAGUCCCCUGGGCCUGCACUGACGCUCAUGCACGAAAGCGUGGGGAGCAAACAGGA